rfam:Pteropus alecto contig17989, whole genome shotgun sequence.
GAUUCCAUAGUGUAGCGAUUAGCACGUCUGCUUUACACACAGAAGGUCCUGAGUUUGCACCCCAAUGGAGCCA